GAGGGUAUAGCUCAGUGGUGGAGCACAUGCCUAGCAUGCACAAGGUCCUAGGUUCAAUCCCCAGUACCUCCA
rnacentral:tRNA from 1 species